rnacentral:rRNA from 1 species
GACGAACCGUCCAAACGUUAUUCGGAAUCACUGGGCUUACAGAGUUCGUAGGCGGUCUGGAAAGUUGGGUGUGAAAUCCCUCGGCCUAACCGAGGAACUGCGCUUGAAACUACCAGACUCGAGGGAGAUAGAGGAAAGCGGAACUGAUGGCGGAGCGGUGAAAUGCGUUGAUAUCAUCAGGAACACCGGUGGCGAAGGCGGCUUUCUGGGACGGUACUGACGCUGAGACGCGAAAGCGUGGGGAGCGAACAGG